ACACGGUGGGGGGCGACCCCAUGGGGCUCCCCUACAGCACCUUUGACCACUCGCGCGCCCACUACUUCCGCUACGACGAGCACGUCUCGCUCUGCCUGGAGAAGCUGAGCUCCAGCAAGGACAAGAGCAAGGCUGUGCUGCAGCAGAAAUACGUGCGGUGCUCGGUGCGGGCGCAGAUCCGACACCUGCGGAGGGUCCUGUGCCACCGGCUGGGGCUGUCCCUGCAGCACGUGCAGAUCCUGUUUGACAACGAGCCCCUCCCUGACCACAUGACAAUGAAGCAGCUCUGGCUCUCACGCUGGUUCGGCAAGGUGUGCAUCCAUCACAAGGAGUGGCAACCUCUGAUUUUGGGGGGUGGUGGGGUGAUCCUCUUGAGUGCUUCAGGGCUAUGUGGGGUUGGGGGAUUGAGAAUCUUUAAUGUCAGUGGCUGCAGUUGUGAUCUGGGGAGGUUCCUGGCCCAUGGAUGGGUCAGGCAGUGCGGGGGUCCCCAAAGGGGUUGGCCAAGUUUGGGGUGCAGCCCCGUGGAAAUCCUUGGGCUGGUAUUGGGGGUGCCUGUACCAGGGAACUUCCGGGCUGAGGUUUGGGGUCUCUGCCCCAAGGGGACCUUGGGCUGGGGUUUGGGAUCAUGGAAUGGGGUUGGGGAGCCCCUGGGCUGAGGUUUGGGAUCCUUGCCCUAGGAGGGAGUCCUGGGCUGGCGUCUGGGGUCAUGGGUUGGUGUGAGGGGUCUCUGUCUUGGGGGGGUUCCCUGGACUGGGGUUUGGAGUCCCUGCCUUGGGAUCUGGAGUCUCUGUCCCAAGCUGGGGGGUCCAUGGCUGGAAGCCCCCAGCUCUGACCCCCCCCUCACCCCACAGCCUGCACCCCUCCUGCUGCACUACAGCAUCAAGGACAAGAGGAGGUAGGGGUGGGGGGUGGGUGCUGCUCCCCCAUUGCAGCCCUGCUCCCACCCCCUCCCCCACCCCCCAUAAUUUAUACCCCACUUCGAAUUUAUUUUUGGAAUAAAAUUGUGGAAAAGCCC
rnacentral:lncRNA from 12 species